rnacentral:rRNA from 1 species
UACGAAGGUUGCUAGCGUUGUUCGGAAUUACUGGGCGUAAAGCGAACGUAGGCGGUGUUCCAUGUCAGAGGUGAAAGCCUGGGGCUCAACUCCAGAAUUGCCUUUGAAACGGGGACGCUUGAGUCCGAGAGAGGAUGGCGGAAUUCCUAGUGUAGAGGUGAAAUUCGUAGAUAUUAGGAAGAACACCGGUGGCGAAGGCGGCCAUCUGGCUCGGUACUGACGCUCAGGUUCGAAAGCGUGGGGAGCAAACAGG